CUGCUGCUCCAGUUUCAACUGUUCUGCCUGCAGCUAUGGAACCCUGACCUGUUCACCGGACGUGCUACCUCUCCCAGACCUGCUGUUUUCAACUCUCUAGAGACAGCAGGAGCGGUGAACCAUUUCGCAGCAAAUGUCAGGCCCUGCUUUGAGGACCUGGGUGAUGGUGAAGGCGGAUGGAGAGGUGACGUGUGUGCACACUGCACUUGUAUGGCAGGGUUGGCAGAGUCAUGUUCCCAUGUUGGAGCCCUGUUAUAUGCAGUGGAGGAAGGCGCCCCCAUGCGAGAAUCGGUCACACGCACGAUGGAACGGAGCAGCUGGCUGAUGCCUGCACAUGUAAAAAAGAUACCAGCAGCCCCUGUAGCCGACAUUGAUUUCUUAUCAGCAAGGGCUAAGAAGAUGAACCAGGCAGGUUGUACAAUGGAGCAGGCAACUUCAUCCCUGACUUGGCGUCCCUUUUCAUGGUUACAGACAUGAAGCUGAUGCCAGGAAACAGUAUGCAGAGGUCAUGUCCCUUGAACAUGAGAACUUUGUGGUCCAUGGCAGUGGCCUUCAGCUGAUGCCAAUUAGCCAUACAUAGGUGCCACACCUGAUGGGCUCCCUCAUUGUUACUCCUGGUGUAGGAGUCUGUGAGAUUAAGUGACCGGGAACAAUGAAAUUGCGCUCUGGUCAAUCUAUGGAGCCCGGUAUGCCAUGCUGACAGAUUCACCUACUGACAACAAUGAACAACAACUUAAUACAUACAAUUUGUCAGCCAACCACAGAAAUGGAAUUGAUUGAUUAAUCAAAUUAUGAAUGAAUUAACUAUGUUCUCAAGUUUCAAUGUGUGAUUUAGUGUGUGUGUGUGUGUG